UGCCCCAAACUGGAGUCGAACCACCGACCUUCUCAUUACGAGUGAGACGCUCUACCACUGAGCUAUUGGGGC
rnacentral:tRNA from 1 species